GUAAUGAUUAAUAGGGAUAGGUUGGGGGCAUUAGUAUUCAAUUGUCAGAGGUGAAAUUCUUGGAUUUAUUGAAGACUAACUACUGCGAAAGCAUUUGCCAAGGAUGUUUUCAUUAAUCAAGAACGAAAGUUGGGGAUCGAAGACGAUCAGAUACCGUCGUAGUCUUAACCAUAAACUAUGCCGACUAGGGAUCGGAUGAUGUUAAUUUUAUAAUGAUCA
rnacentral:rRNA from 1 species